rnacentral:rRNA from 1 species
CUUAAGCAUAUCAAUAAGCGGAGGAAAAGAAACUAACAAGGAUUCCCCUAGUAACUGCGAGUGAAGCGGGAAAAGCUCAAAUUUAAAAUCUGGUAGCUUUCAGUUGCCCGAGUUGUAGUCUAGAGAAGCGUCUUCCGUGUUGGACCGUGUAUAAGUCUCUUGGAACAGAGCGUCAUAGAGGGUGAGAAUCCCGUCUUUAACAUGGACUACCAAUGCUUUGUGAUGCGCUCUCAAAGAGUCGAGUUGUUUGGGAAUGCAGCUCAAAAUGGGUGGUAAAUUCCAUCUAAAGCUAAAUAUUGGCGAGAGACCGAUAGCGAACAAGUACCGUGAGGGAAAGAUGAAAAGCACUUUGGAAAGAGAGUUAAACAGUACGUGAAAUUGCUGAAAGGGAAACGCUUGAAGUCAGUCGCGUUAGUUAGAACUCAGCCAAGCUUGCUUGGUGCAUUUUCUAGUUUAACGGGCCAGCAUCAGUUUUGGCUGCAGGAUAAAGAUUAGAGAAAUGUGGCAGCCUCGGCUGUGUUAUAGUCUCUGAUUGUAUACUGUGACCAGGACUGAGGAUCUCAGCACGCAUUUGUUGUUGCUUAGGAUGCUGGCGUAAUGGCUUUAAACGACCCGUCUUGAAACACGGACCAAGGAGUCUAACAAACCUGCGAGUAUUUGGGUGAUUAAACCCGAGUGCGUAAUGAAAGUGAAAGUUGGGAUCCCUGUCGUGGGGAGCACCGACGCCCGGACCAGACCUUCUGUGACGGAUCUGCGGUAGAGCAUGUUUGUUGGGACCCGAAAGAUGGUGAACUAUGCCUGAAUAGGGUGAAGCCAGAGGAAACUCUGGUGGAGGCUCGUAGCGAUUCUGACGUGCAAAUCGAUCGUCAAAUUUGGGUAUAGGGGCGAAAGACUAAUCGAACCAUCUAGUAGCUGGUUCCUGCCGAAGUUUCCCUCAGGAUAGCAGAAACUCAUAUCAGAUUUAUGUGGUAAAGCGAAUGAUUAGAGGCCUUGGGGUUGAAACAACCUUAACCUAUUCUCAAACUUUAAAUAUGUAAGAACAAGCCGUCACUUGAUUGGACCGCUUGGCGAUUGAGAGUUU